rnacentral:siRNA from 1 species
UAUAACGUUGCAGCUUACACC